UGGGGAAUUUUGGACAAUGGGGGAAACCCUGAUCCAGCCAUCCCGCGUGUGCGAUGAAGGCCUUCGGGUUGUAAAGCACUUUUGGCAGGAAAGAAACGUCAUGGGUUAAUACCCCGUGAAACUGACGGUACCUGCAGAAUAAGCACCGGCUAACUACGUGCCAGCAGCCGCGGUAAUACGUAGGGUGCAAGCGUUAAUCGGAAUUACUGGGCGUAAAGCGUGCGCAGGCGGUUCGGAAAGAAAGAUGUGAAAUCCCGGAGCUCAACUUUGGAACUGCAUUUUUAACUACCGGGCUAGAGUGUGUCAGAGGAAAGUGGAAUUCCGCGUGUAGCAGUGAAAUGCGUAGAUAUGCGGAGGAACACCGAUGGCGAAGGCAGCCUCCUGGGAUAACACUGACGCUCAUGCACGAAAGCGUGGGGAGCAAACAGG
rnacentral:rRNA from 1 species